GAGCCUAGAGUGAUCAUGGGAAUGUUUCUGUGGGCUCUCCUCCUCCCUUGCUGCCUGCUUAGUACCAGUCUUGCUCAGCUUGGAGGCUCCAGUUCCCAAACGGGCAGUGGAAGUGGAGGUCUCCUUCUCAAGCCUGGCCAGGUGCUUGGCAGUGAUGGCGUGGUUAGCCCCAGCUUUCUCAGUGGGAGCGACCGGCAGGCUGGAGCCAUCAGGAGUCCUUCCAGUAGCAGAGGAGCCAUCCACUCCAGACCAAAGCUUCCCUGAGUAUGACCAGAAGCUCGUGUAUCUGAAGGACACUGACACUGAAGACGUCGCGGAAUACAGUGCCCAGUCUAAGAAAUUCAGUAUGCAGCCAGACUGGCCCCAGAACCCCAGCCUGCUGACCACACCCCCAGUGAGAAUGGCUGUGCCUAUUCCAGUUCCACCCGUGAGGAUGCUCGAGACAAAUCAGGCCACCACACAUAACCCUGCUCAAGGUGAAACGAGUGGCCGAGACCCUGCUGACAGAAGUCCUGUGAUCAGCCAAGGAUCCUUGGGCCAUGAAGAAGGGAAUCCCUCCAGACUGAUUGAGAGGCCAGCUCUCUGCUGUCAUAGAAGUCAUGCUCAGACAGAUCCUGCCCAGCCGUCUACCCAAUAUGGUGAGUUUGCCCAAGUGGGCCCCGGGCAGACCCUAGAGAUUCCCUGGAGAGGCUUUGCAGCUGGAGGCACAGAGAGGCAGCCAGGGCAGGCAGUUUUAUCUUCAGACUUCCCAGCCUCUCCAGGCUUUGUUGUCCUGCCCUUUGUCCAGGCCCCUGUGGUGGGGGAAGGGACAUUUACUCUAAGAUUGAUGUGUGCUAAGCAGUUGACACCUGCAGAAGAGGAAGAUUAG
rnacentral:lncRNA from 1 species